AGACACAACCUGACUUCAUCUCACGACAGCUGUGAUUCCUCAUAUGGUUUUGCUAAAAUAGAAGUUCCGGUCGUGUUUUUUGUUUUGUGCCGUGUGUUUUGAAGCCCUGAGUGUGUGAGUAAUGACCUGCGCUUUAUGUCCCAUGGUUUUCUACAUUUGCUUCACUAAGAAUAGCUCGACUCAUGCAGGGAACACUUUACACAGCUGGUGUUGUGAAUGCUGCGCGCUGCUUGUUUACUGGUACAACCUGCUGAUUUGCAUCUGUUCAAGUGCUAGCAGCCAAAGUGUUUCUGAGUGUAGAAACACAUAUGAAGACGCCGAUAAGAAGCUCACGGGUUGAAUCAGGUGUGAGAUUGCAGGGAAAACACUGCAGGCGUUUCUCAGGACUGGCACUGAGAACGAUUAUCCUACAGGCCAAUGUGGUGGGAAGCGGAUUAUGUGUCUUGACUGAGCGUCUAGUUUGACUGACUUGAGUGAAGACGAGACGUGUGCAAAUAUCCGAGAAGAAACAGCUAGACCUGAGGACUGUAGGAGUUUGAGGUUGAGGAUAGACAGCUCGAUCUUCUCAGGAGAGGAGAAUGAAUUGACCUGCAACAACAAAAGCUAAGACCUGAAUAAGGUUUUAACAUGUACAGUAAUUCAUUGUGGAAGAUUGCAAGUAACAUUAUAAUUUGUAUAUUCAGUUUCAGUGUCUUCUGAAAAAGGAAACAAAAGAGAAGCAAUGAUUUUUAAACUUCCACACCGAUCAUAUGUAUCGGCUGAUCAUUAAGGUACAUUGCUCACCUUUAUUAUAACAGAAGCCUCGUAUUACAAGCCCGACUACAGUGACGAUGAAAACGCAGCCUAGUGUAAUCCAAACAUAAAGUCUGAAGGGUUUCUCUUCUUUACCUACAAGUAAGAAAAUGUAAAUGUGGUCAGUCUAAGACACAGAAAGAAAAUGUCUACUGUACAACAGUUCUUCCAGGGGAAAAAAAACCACACAAAUAUAGCAGCUGUACAAUUUACCUGAACAUAUUAUUAAAUGAAUAUAACAUAAUAAACAAACUGGACAACAUCUAACAUCAUAUCCCUGGGAAAAGAGAAAUAAUAUGAUAUCAAUGUAUUGUUACGCCAUGGCGAACUCGAGGCUGCAGUUCUCAGCAUACAGUGCCGCCUACAAACAUGACGGACGAGGACUACACUUCCCAGCCAUGCCCGCGCUUGAGUUCGCCGGAGUAUUGAGUACGAACACCUGUGCUGCAUCAUAAGUUAUAAAAGGCCUCGUUAACUUCAGCGUCUCGUGAAGUAAACACUCAGCAGCCUCGUCUCUGUUGUGUACCGAGCAUUAAUUUCCGUAUCCGCUAAACUGGUUCUGAUAUUUGCAUUGUUUGUUGACUACGAUUCUGCCUAAGCCUAGUACUGCCCGUUUGCCCGAUCGCCUGACUUUGAUUCCCUUCCGUACUUCGUCUUUCGUCUGACCCUGAUUCCCUUCCGUACUUCGUCUUUCGUCUGACCUUGAUUCCCUUCCGUACUUCGUCUUUCGUCUGACCCUGAUUCCCUUCCGUACUUCGUCUUUCGUCUGACCCAUGCACUCUAGACUGUUCGUCCACGCUGGUCCCACCUGGCCCUAGAUUUCAUAACGGACUUGCAGGAGUCAAAAGGUAAUACUGUGAUACUGGUGAUUGUUUAUCAGUUUUCGAAAUCCAUCGCCUAAUUCCACUACUGGCCAUCCCAUCUGCCUUUACCACAGCCGAACUACUUUUCCAACAUGUGUUUAGAUACUUCGGCAUCCCAGAAGAGAUUGUGAGUGACAGGGGUCCACAGUUCACGUCUCGCAUCUGGGCCAGUUCCAUUUUGAAGAUGGGGGUCACCGUUAAUCUCACUUCCGGUACCACACCCAGGACAACGCACAGGCAGAACGGGCCAAACAAGAGGUCAUACGGUUCCUCCGAACCUUCUGCGCCACCAAUCCAGGGGACUGGGGCCACUUCCUACUGUGGGCGGAAUAUGCACAGAACUCGCUACGGCAUUCCGCCACCAAGCUCACCCCAUUUCAGUGUGUCUUGGGCUACCAGUCGCCAUUGUUCCCCUGGAACGCCUCCCCCACUGACUCACCAGAGGUAGAUGAGUGGUUCCGCCGGAGUGAACAGGUCUGGGAACGCGCCUACCAACAGCUAGUGCAGGCCUUCCGCACCGCCAAACGAAAGGCAGACCGGCGCCGGAGGGAUCACCCCAAUUAUCAACCCGGUGACAGGGUGUGGCUUUCCACAGAGAUCUAAAGUCACCCCUCCCGGUGACUUUAGACUCCAACCUAAAUAUAUCGGCCCCUUCCGAGUCUUGAAGCAAAUUAACAAAGACAUGUACUGCCUGGACCUAGCAAAGCAAAGCCGCAUCGCCCCGUCUUUCCAUGUCUCUCUCCUCAAAGCAGUGAUACCAGGCCCCUUGACCACGGCGGUGCCGGAAGACUCCCCAGCGGAAACGCUAGAGAUCAAGGGCCGCCCAGCCUACCGCAGUGCUGGAUCCCAUCCAUUGGAAUAAACAUGUGAUAAUAUUCCUAAAGAGCAAAUGAAUUGUGGAAAUAUUGUUAUUUAAGACCUAAUUGAUGUGUAAAUGUGUAACUUCAUACCCCAGGUGACUGUAAUAUUUCCCUCUAGGCUGCUGUGAUGCACUACACAGCUGUAGCGCUGAUCUCCUGUGUUCUCCUCAGGUCUGAUCACACUGCUUCUGG